ncrna:unclassified sequences drum RNA
UGGCGUUGAAGCAGUGGACUGGUUCGGCAUCAGCCUGUUGUGGAGCCAAACUAUGGGUUGAGCGAAAACCACAAGCCGAAUAGAUUCGAUGAAUCGAAAGAAAACGCAAAAU